rnacentral:lncRNA from 1 species
GAACAUUCUAGUUCUUCAUGAGAAAUGGCUGAAUUGAGCUGAUUAAUACAUACAUUAUCUCACACACUUAUUUUUGUGUGAUUUGCGUUGAUUGAAAAGAUGAUAGAGUUGCCUGAUGCAUUCUGAGACCCAUGCAGAGAAUAAAGUAAAUGCAGAUUUGGAUGUGAACAUAAAGGAGGAAAAUGAGAUGAGCGAUAAUGCUGAAAUGCUGAUAGUUCCCGGAGCCUUCACUGUCUUCAUGAUUAGAUCCCUCCAUACUCUCCAUCACUAAUGCCUUGGCUGGAGAUUACCAUUCAGAGACCAUGUACUGAGCAGAUAAAUGCCAAUCAUCACAGCAUUGUCUCAGGCCUAAAUGAAUAAAGGCAUGACACUGAGAUUGAAGGCUAGUUCUACUUCAGAACCACAGAGACAUGAGCACCAGCAAGUUUGAGGUUGGAUAAGGAUCUUCAGAACUCCUCAGCUUCAGAUGGUCAAGCACUGCUUCCUCCCUUCUUCAACGGCAUCUCUAGCAUGUAUACUUCCCUUAAAUCCACCUUCGUAGCAUUUGCUGAUGGAAGAGGCACAACAGAGUCCAUGCCUUCACCUCCUCUGGCCAACUCUAAUCAUGAAUCUCCUGUGAAUCAGCUGGGAAACAUGCAGAAUAUGAGAUUGGGGCCCUCAUUCAUACUAACUGGAAUUUUCCUUGGCAAUGGUAGAACAGAAGCUUCUCCAUUCUUUACAGAUGAAUUUGCUUUAAGUAAGAUCUUCCCAGAGUACAAAAGAAAUUUAUUCGGAAAAUUUCAAACUAAUAUGGCCUUCUCACUGGAACUGGAUCCACCAUCCCUUUUGCUCAGUGUCGUCUUGUUUAUGUUUUAGAUCCUUUGCAAGGUGAGCUACACCUCUGAGAGGAGCUCCUGGAAAUUACCAGAUACUUAAUGUUGCCAGCUGUUACAGAUGGAGGUGAUGCACCUUGAUGAUGCAUAAGUACUGAGCCUGAAUCCUACAAAUGGGAAAAGGUGCUCAUAUCAGACUUAUGCAUUAGAUAUCAAACUACAAAAUACAAGUGCAGUUGAUACCUGUUUAGAUGAUGUAGAGCAAGGUAACAGAGUAUGUAUUAAAAGCAAAAAUUCCCAUGAAGCUGAACCGUUACUCUCUGCCAAAACCUCCCACUCUCAAGUUUUAAGAGCCAAUAAACCUUGUAUCUGUACGUUCAGCUUUGCCUUUUUUUUCCCAGGACUGUAAACCUCUGUCAAGGUUUACCAUGUUUCAUUGAUUUUAUUUUUUC